UCCAUCGGCGGUGCGGGCUGAU
rnacentral:misc_RNA from 1 species